GUGGUUGUGGCUCAGAGGUGUAGAGCACUCGCUUAGCAUGCAUGAGGCACUGGGUUCAAUCCUCAGCACCACA
rfam:Ictidomys tridecemlineatus contig084174, whole genome shotgun sequence.